rnacentral:rRNA from 1 species
GAUCAUGGCUCAGAUUGAACGCUGGCGGCAGGCCUAACACAUGCAAGUCGAACGGUAACAGGAAACAGCUUGCUGUUUCGCUGACGAGUGGCGGACGGGUGAGUAAUGUCUGGGAAACUGCCUGAUGGAGGGGGAUAACUACUGGAAACGGUAGCUAAUACCGCAUAACGUCGCAAGACCAAAGAGGGGGGACCCUUCGGGCCGUCUUGCCAUCGGAUGUGGCCCACGAUGGGAUUAGCUAGUAGGUGGGGG